rnacentral:rRNA from 1 species
GACGAACGCUGGCGGCGUGCUUAACACAUGCAAGUCGAACGAUGAAGCGGUGCUUGCACCGUGGAUGAGUGGCGAACGGGUGAGUAAUGCGUGAGUGACCUGCCCCCUUCUUCGGGAUAAGCCUUGGAAACGGGGUCUAAUACCGGAUAUUCCCUUCCUUCUGCAUGGUUGGUUGGGGAAAGUUUUUCGGUGGGGGAUGGGCUCGCGUCCUAUCAGCUUGUUGGUGGGGUGAUGGCCUACCGAAGGCGUCGACGGGUAGCCGGCCUGAGAGGGUGACCGGCCACACUGGGACUGAGAUACGGCCCAGACUCCUACGGGAGGCAGCAGUGGGGGAUAUUGCACAAUGGGCGCAAGCCUGAUGCAGCGACGCCGCGUGAGGGAUGACGGCUUCGGGUUGUAAACCUCUUUUACUAUUGAACAAGGCGCCAUAUUGGUGGUGUUGAGGGUAGGUGGUGAAUAAGCGCCGGCUAACUACGUGCCAGCAGCCGCGAACACGAGAGUA